UACGUAGGGGGCAAGCGUUGUCCGGAUUUAUUGGGCGUAAAGCGCGCGUAGGCGGCCAACUAAGUCAGACGUGAAAUCCCUCAGCUUAACUGGGGAACUGCGUCUGAUACUGGAUGGCUUGGAUUCGGGAGAGGAAUGCGGAAUUCCAGGUGUAGCGGUGAAAUGCGUAGAUAUCUGGAGGAACACCGGUGGCGAAGGCGGCAUUCUGGACCGAUAUUGACGCUGAGGAGCGAAAGCCAGGGGAGCAAACGGG
rnacentral:rRNA from 1 species